AUCAGCUGACGAGUCUCAAAUAAGAUGAAACGCGUAUCCUGUAU
rfam:Schistosoma rodhaini strain Burundi genome assembly, scaffold: SROB_scaffold0001567